GACCUCUUAGCUCAGUGGUAGAGCGUAAGAUUCCAGCUUUGCUGAGUCAUCUGCUUAGUCAGCCGGCUUCCUUAAGGUCAUCCGUUCAAUCCGGGUAGAGGUCA